rnacentral:rRNA from 1 species
CCUACGGGAGGCAGCAGUGGGGAAUAUUGGGCAAUGGAGGAAACUCUGACCCAGCGACGCCGCGUGCGGGAUGAAGGCCUUCGGGUUGUAAACCGCUUUCAGCAGGGAAGAAGCGAAAGUGACGGUACCUGCAGAAGAGGCACCGGCUAACUAUGUGCCAGCAGCCGCGGUAAUACAUAGGGUGCAAGCGUUGUCCGGAAUUAUUGGGCGUAAAGAGCUCGUAGGUGGUUCGUCACGUCGGAUGUGAAAAUCUGGGGCUUAACCCCAGACCUGCAUUCGAUACGGGCGAGCUUGAGUAUGGUAGGGGAGUCUGGAAUUCCUGGUGUAGCGGUGGAAUGCGCAGAUAUCAGGAGGAACACCAAUGGCGAAGGCAGGACUCUGGGCCAUUACUGACACUGAGGAGCGAAAGCGUGGGGAGCGAACAGGAUUAGAUACCCUGGUAGUCCACGCCGUAAACGGUGGGCACUAGUUGUGGGGACCUUCCACGGUCUCUGCGACGCAGCUAACGCAUUAAGUGCCCCGCCUGGGGAGUACGAUCGCAAGNUUAAAACUUAAAUGAAUUGACGG